rnacentral:RNase_P_RNA from 2 species
CCGGUGCGAUGGGUGGUUGCAAGAUUAUGAUCUUGAGGAAAGUCCGAGCUGCAAUAAGACAGAGUUCCACCUAACGGGUGGCUAGGGAAACCUAAGGGAAAGUGCAACAGAAAGGAAACUGCCGCUAAAGAAAUUUAACGGUGAUGGUGAAACGGCGGGGUAAGAGCCCACCAGUAUAAGUAGAGAUACUUAUAGCUAUGUAAACCCAACUUGCAGCAAGAAGGGAUGGUUUGGAGUCUUAUAUUCAACCCUUCGCUUGAGUUUGAUGCAAUAUCAAAACUAGAUAAAUAACUACCAUAACAGAACUCGGCUUAUUAUCGCACCUGCAAA